rnacentral:rRNA from 1 species
GAUGAACGCUGGCGGCGUGCCUAAUACAUGCAAGUCGAGCGGACAGACGAGGAGAUUGUUCUUUUGACGUUAGCGGGGGACGGGCGAGUAACACGUGGAUCACCUACUUAUAUGUCUGGGAUAACUACGGGAAACAGGAGAUAAUACUGGAGAAUAUAUCGUACCGCUUGGUGCAAUAGAGCAAGGCGGCUUUGGUGUUACAUUUAGCUGGAUCCGGGCUGGAUUGGCUAGUUGGUAAGGUCACGGCCAACCAAGGCGACGAUGCGUAGCCGACCUGAGAGGGUGAUCGGCCACACUGGAACUGAGACACGGUCCAGACUCCUACGGGAGGCAGCAGUGGGGAAUGUUCCACAAUGGGCGAAAGCCUGACCCAGCAACGCCGCGUGGGUGAUGAAGGCCUUCGGAUCGUAAAGCCCUUUUGUUGGGAAAGAAAAGAUGUAGAAUAAACUAUGGACGUCCUGACGGUACCUAAACAAAAAGCCACGGCUAACUACGUG